rnacentral:rRNA from 1 species
GGGGAAUUUAGGUCAAUGGGCGCAAGCCUGAACCAGCCAUGCCGCGUGCAGGAUGAAGCAUCUAUGGUGUGUAAACUGCUUUUGUACGGGAAGAAACCACCCCUCGUGAGGGGUAUUGACGGUACCGUAAGAAUAAGGAUCGGCUAACUCCGUGCCAGCAGCCGCGGUAAUACGGAGGAUCCAAGCGUUAUCCGGAAUCAUUGGGUUUAAAGGGUCCGUAGGCGGGUCUGUAAGUCAGUGGUGAAAUCUCCCCGCUCAACGGGGAAACUGCCAUUGAUACUGCAGGUCUUGAAUUAUUGGGAAGUAACUAGAAUAUGUAGUGUAGCGGUGAAAUGCUUAGAUAUUACAUGGAAUACCAAUUGCGAAGGCAGGUUACUACUAAUGGAUUGACGCUGAUGGACGAAAGCGUGGGGAGCGAACA